rnacentral:tRNA from 1 species
GCCGAAGUGGUGGAAUGGCAGACACGUCGCACUCAAAAUGCGAUGCCCUUACGGGUGUGUGGGUUCAACUCCCACCUUCGGCA